GCCAACUCUAGCCCUAGUCCCAUACAAUUAUAAUAACUAAACACAAUAACCAAAUCAUUUACCCACUAUAAAAGUAUAGGAGAUAGAAAUUAUACUACAGGCGCAAUAGAUAUAGUACCGCAAGGGAAAGACAAAAAAAUUAACAAAGCACAAUAAAGCAAAGACAAACUCUUGUACCUUCUGCAUAAUGAAUUAACUAGAAAUAACUUUAUAUAGAGAACUUCAAUAAUGCUCCCCGAAACCAAGCGAGCUACCCAAGGAUAGCCAAAAGAGCACACCCAUCUAUGUGGCAAAAUAGUGGGAAAAUCUAUGGGUAGUGGCGACAAACCUACCGAGCCUGGUGAUAGCUGGUUGUCCAAGAUAGAAUCUUAGUUCAACCUUAAAUUUACUUACAGAACUAUUUAAUCCCCCCGUAAAUUUAAUUGUUAGUCUAAAGAGGGACAGCUCCUUAGACCCUAGGAAACAACCUUUAUAUAGAGAGUAAAAUGCCCCACUACCAUAGUUGGCCUAAAAGCAGCCAUCAAUUAAGAAAGCGUUUAAGCUCAACACUCACCUUUACUUAAUUUUACUCAAUAUACUGAACUCCUAAAGCACAUUGGACUAAUCUAUUACUUAAUAGAAGCAAUAAUGUUAAUAUAAGUAACAUGAAAUCAUUCUCCCCGCAUAAGCUUAUCUCAGACCGAAACAACUACUGUUAGUUAACAGCUCAAUCACCACAUACCACAACCUAAUCAACCCAUUAAAUAAACUGUUAACCCAACACAGGUAUGCAUCCAGGAAAGAUUAAAAAAAGUAAAAGGAACUCGGCAAACUCUAACCCCGCCUGUUUACCAAAAACAUCACCUCUAGCAUUACUAGUAUUAGAGGCACUGCCUGCCCAGUGACACAUGUUUAACGGCCGCGGUACCCUGACCGUGCAAAGGUAGCAUAAUCACUUGUUCUCUAAAUAGGGACUUGCAUGAAUGGCCACACGAGGGUUUAACUGUCUCUUACUUUUAAUCAGUGAAAUUGACCUAUCCGUGAAGAGGCGGAUAUAGCUAAAUAAGACGAGAAGACCCUAUGGAGCUUCAAUUCAAUAAUACAAACAAAUGUUUUAAAUACCCACAGGCACUAACCCACUGUCAAUGUAUUAUAAAUUUUGGUUGGGGUGACCUCGGAGCAUAGCACAACCUCCGAAAAGCAUUACACCAAGACCUCACUAGUCUAAGUAAUUUACACUCAUUGACCCAAUAACUUGAUCAACGGACCAAGUUACCCUAGGGAUAACAGCGCAAUCCUAUUUUAGAGUUCAUAUCGACAAUAGGGUUUACGACCUCGAUGUUGGAUCAAGACAUCCUAAUGGUGUAGCCGCUAUUAAAGGUUCGUUUGUUCAACGAUUAAAGUCUUACGUGAUCUGAGUUCAGACCGGAGAAAUCCAGGUCGGUUUCUAUCUAUUAAAUAUUUCUCCCAGUACGAAAGGACAAGAGAAAUGGAGCCUACUUCACAAAGCGCUCCCGCAAAUCAAAUGAUUAUAAUCUUAAUUUCACAAAAUACUAUCCCUGCCCAAGAACAGGGCUU
rnacentral:rRNA from 1 species